UUUCCGGUUGAUCCUGCCGGACCUGACUGCUAUCGGAUUGAUACUAAGCCGUGCGAGUCUUUGCAGUAAUGCAAGGCAUACGGCUCAGUAACACGUAGUCAACCUACCCUAUGGACGAGAAUAAUCUCGGGAAACUGAGCAUAAUUCUUGAUAGAUCAUAAUGCCUGGAAUGGUUUAUGGUUAAAAUGAUUCGUCGCCAUAGGAUGGGACUGCGGCCUAUCAGCUUGUUGGUGAGGUAAUGGCCCACCAAGGCGAUUACAGGUACGGGCUCUGAGAGGAGAAGCCCGGAGAUGGGUACUGAGACACGGACCCAGGCCCUAUGGGGCGCAGCAGGCGAGAAAACUUUGCAAUGUGCGAAAGCACGACAAGGUUAAUCCGAGUGAUUUCUGCUAAAGAAAUCUUUUGCCAGUCGUAAAACCGCUGGUGAAUAAGGGGUGGGCAAGUUCUGGUGUCAGCCGCCGCGGUAAAACCAGCACCUCAAGUGGUCAGGAUGAUUAUUGGGCCUAAAGCAUCCGUAGCCGGCUUUGUAAGUUUUCGGUUAAAUCCAUGUGCUCAACGCAUGGGCUGCCGAAAAUACUGCAUAGCUAGGGAGUGGGAGAGGUAGACGGUACUCAGUAGGUAGGGGUAAAAUCCUUUGAUCUAUUGAUGACCACCUGUGGCGAAGGCGGUCUACCAGAACACGUUCGACGGUGAGGGAUGAAAGCUGGGGGAGCAAACCGGAUUAGAUACCCGGGUAGUCCCAGCUGUAAACGAUGCAGACUAGAUGAUGCAUUGGCAUAAUAGCCAUUGCAGUGUCUCAGGGAAGCCGUUAAGUCUGCCGCCUGGGAAGUACGUACGCAAGUAUGAAACUUAAAGGAAUUGGCGGGGGAGCACCACAAGGGGUGAAGCCUGCGGUUCAAUUGGAGUCAACGCCGGG
rnacentral:rRNA from 1 species